CGGUGUAGCGGUGAAAUGCGUAGAGAUCGGGAGGAAUACCAGUGGCGAAGGCGGCCUUCUGGACUGACACUGACGCUGAGGCGCGAAAGCGUGGGUAGCAAACAGGAUUAGAUACCCUGGUAGUCCACGCCGUAAACGAUGUCGACCAGCCGUUGGGCCCCCUGAGGGUCUGGUGGCGCAGUUAACGCAAUAAGUCGACCGCCUGGGGAGUACGGCCGCAAGGCUAAAACUCAAAUGAAUUGACGGGGGCCCGCACAAGCGGUGGAGCAUGUGGUUUAAUUCGAUGCAACGCGAAGAACCUUACCUGCCCUUGACAUCCUGCGAACCCGGAAGAGAUUCCGGGGUGCCUUCGGGAACGCAGAGACAGGUGCUGCAUGGCUGUCGUCAGCUCGUGUUGUGAAAUGUUGGGUUAAGUCCCGUAACGAGCGCAACCCCUAUCCCUUUUUGCCAGCGGUCCGGCCGGGAACUUCAGGGAGACUGCCGGUGACAAACCGGAGGAAGGUGGGGACGACGUCAAGUCAUCAUGGCCCUUACGGGCAGGGCUACACACGUGCUACAAUGGCCGGUACAAAGGGUUGCGAAGCGGCGACGUGAAGCCAAUCCCGCAAAGCCGGCCUCAGUCCGGAUCGGAGUCUGCAACUCGACUCCGUGAAGUCGGAAUCGCUAGUAAUCGUGGAUCAGAAUGCCACGGUGAAUACGUUCCCGGGCCUUGUACACACCGCCCGUCACACCAUGGGAGUGGACUGCACCAGAAGUGGUUAGCUUAACCUUCGGGAGAGCGAUCACCACGGUGUGGUUCAUGACUGGGGUGAAGUCGUAACAAGGUAACC
rnacentral:rRNA from 1 species